GGACGCGUAGCUCAGUUGGCUAGAGCACCACGUUGACAUCGUGGGGGUCAGGGGUUCGAAUCCCUUCGCGUCCACCA
rnacentral:tRNA from 1 species